rnacentral:rRNA from 1 species
GUCGCAUGACCGAUGCACCAAAGCCGGGCAACCGGUCACUGAAGGAUGGGCCUGCGUCUGAUUAGCUAGUUGGUGGGGUAACGGGCCCACCCAAGGCGACGAUCAGUAGCCGGUCUGAGAGGAUGAACGGCCACAUUGGGACUGAGACACGGCCCAAACUCCUACGGGAGGCAGCAGUGGGGAAUCUUCCGCAAUGGGCGAAAGCCUGACGGAGCAACGCCGCGUGAGUGAAGAAGGUUUUCGGAUCGUAAAGCUCUGUUGUCAGGGACGAGAGGUCUUUUCAGGAAAUGGGAGAGAUAGGACGGUACCUGGCGAGAAAAGCCACGGCUAACUACGUGCC